rnacentral:misc_RNA from 1 species
UCUUUCUGAUUGACUUGGCUAU